UACGUAGGGUGCAAGCGUUAUCCGGAAUUAUUGGGCGUAAAGAGCUCGUAGGCGGUUUGUCACGUCUGCUGUGAAAACUCGAGGCUCAACCUCGAGCUGUCGGUGGAAACCGUGUGGCUAGAGUCCGGAAGAGGAGACUGGAAUUCCCGGUGUAGCGGUGGAAUGCGCAGAUAUCGGGGAGGAACACCCGUGGCGAAGGCGGGUCUCUGGGGACGGUACUGACGGCUGAGACGCGAAAAGCGUGGGGAGCGAACAGG
rnacentral:rRNA from 1 species